GCUCAACCGAGGAAGUGCUUCGAAAACUGGUAAACUUGAGUGCAGAAGAGGAAAGUGGAACUCCAUGUGUAGCGGUGGAAUGCGUAGAUAUAUGGAAGAACACCAGUGGCGAAGGCGGCUUUCUGGUCUGUAACUGACGCUGAGAUUCGAAAGCAUGGGUAGCAAACAGGAUUAGAUACCCUGGUAGUCCAUGCCGUAAACGAUGAGUGCUAAGUGUUGGAGGGUUUCCGUCCUUCAGUGCUGCAGCUAACGCAUUAAGCACUCCGCCUGGGGAGUACGAUCGCAAGAUUGAAACUCAAAGGAAUUGACGGGGGCCCGCACAAGCGGUGGAGCAUGUGGUUUAAUUCGAAGCAACGCGAAGAACCUUACCAGGUCUUGACAUACCAUGAAAAGCUAAGGGAUUAGUCUUUCCCUUCGGGGACAUGGAUACAGGUGGUGCAUGGUUGUCGUCAGCUCGUGUCGUGAGAUGUUGGGUUAAGUCCCGCAACGAGCGCAACCCUUAUUAUCAGUUGCCAGCAUUCAGUUGGGCACUCUGGUGAGACUGCCGGUGACAAACCGGAGGAAGGUGGGGACGACGUCAAAUCAUCAUGCCCCUUAUGACCUGGGCUACACACGUGCUACAAUGGUCGGUACAACG
rnacentral:rRNA from 1 species